rnacentral:rRNA from 1 species
UACGUAGGGACCAAGCGUUGUUCGGAUUUACUGGGCGUAAAGGGCGCGUAGGCGGCUUUGCGUGUCUUUCGUGAAAUCCCUCGGCUCAACUGAGGACGUGCGGAAGAAACUGCAGGACUUGAGGCUGGGAGGGGCUGGUGGAAUUCCCUGUGUAGCGGUGAAAUGCGUAGAGAUGGGGGAGAACACCGGUGGCGAAGGCGGCAUCCUGGACCGAGAUUGACGCUGAGGCGCGAAAGCCAGGGGAGCAAACGGG